rnacentral:rRNA from 1 species
UACAGAGGGGGCAAGCGUUGUUCGGAAUUACUGGGCGUAAAGGGCGCGUAGGCGGCCGCCUAAGUCAGACGUGAAAUCCCUCGGCUCAACCGGGGAACUGCGUCUGAUACUGGGUGGCUUGAAUCCGGGAGAGGGAUGCGGAAUUCCAGGUGUAGCGGUGAAAUUCGUAGAUAUUCGCAAGAACACCAGUGGCGAAGGCGGCUCACUGGCCCGGUACUGACGCUGAGGUGCGAAAGCGUGGGGAGCAAACAGG